AAGAACAAAUUCUUAUUUACACUCACGCCCUACCCCGGCCAAACCCGGAAGAUGUGAUACAGCCUGUAUUCAAACCAGGGACUGUAGUAAUGCCUCUUGCACCGAGAUGCAGUGCCUUCGACCUCUGCGCCACUCGGGAGCCAUGACAAAUAUGUUGGUUUUUUUCAGAACAUUAACCGUGUAGAUAAGUGUGUAGGUAGAUAAGUGUGUAGGUAGAUAAGUGUGUAGGUAGAUAAGUGUGUAGGUAGAUAAGUGUGUAGGUGGGUAGAUAGGUGUGUAGGUAGGUAGAUAAGUGUGUAGGUGGGUAGAUAGGUGUGUAGGUAGGUAGAUAAGUGUGUAGGUAGGUAGAUAAGUGUGUAGGUAGACAGGUGUGUAGGUAGGUAGACAGGUGUGUAGGUAGAUAAGUGUGCAGGUAGAUAAGUGGGUAGGUAGAUAAGUGGGUAGGUAGAUAAGAGUGCAGGUAGGUAAGUGUGUAGGUAGGUAGGUAAGUGUGUAGGUAGAUAAGUGUGUAGGUAGAUAAGUGUGCAGGUAGAUAAGUGGGUAGGUAGAUAAGUGGGUAGGUAGAUAAGAGUGCAGGUAGAUAAGAGUGCAGGUAGAUAGAUAAGUGUGUAGGUAGAUAGGUAAGUGUGUAGGUAGAUAGGUAAGUGUGUAGGUAGAUAAGUGUGUAGGUAGAUAAGUGUGUAGGUAGGUAGAUAGGUGUGUAGGUAGGUAGAUAAGUGUGUAGGUAGGUAUAUAAGUGUGUAGGUAGGUAUAUAAGUGUGUAGGUAGGUAGAUAAGUGUGUAGGUAGAUAGAUAAG
rnacentral:lncRNA from 1 species